UGGUUCCCGAAGCGAGCGACUCGGGUAUAAAUAGAGGCGUCGAGGCCAGAGAACGGCACUCUCAAAAAUAAAGUGUUCAAGUGCAGUCAUAGUGUUUCUGAAAAAAAAAGUCUCAAAUUAGUACAAAGAAAUUUUCACUCUUGCUGGCUAGCAAGCAGUAGUUACUUAUUAAUUGGCAAAAAAAAUGGAAAAGUGUAAAAAUCACAGUAAAGGAGGAGCUGAAGAGCAGUUUUGCUACCAAAUGACGGAGGGGCCCACGUAGUAUUUCUCAGCGUUGGGCAAUAUUUGCUCUCGAUUUGGAAACAAAGAAACCAGAGGCCCUGGCAACGUUGCGGAUUAGUCAUCAUCGCAUCGGGGAAUUUCAAAAUGCGACAGGCAGUUGGAGAGGCAGAAUUUAGCUCGAUUUUGGCUAGAAAGUGACCCCCUACGUAGACAGUCUGAGGCAGAUCCAGGAUAUCCCCCCGUGACUACACUCUCUCUGAGCCAGCGGAUUGGUUAAAAAUGGGAUAGGAGGAAGCCAGGUACACACAGCAGCAAAUCCAGCGUGUUCUUUUCUCUAUUCGUAAGCACAACCUAAGCCUAAGAUGUAGUUUUAUAAGCUACGAGAAGACAAUCUAUGGCAUAAAAAACGUCCUCAAACGUCACCCGUAGAUUACGUUUUUCGCUGAAAAUGUCAGCAUUUUCACCACGUUGCGUAACGAGGAAUACAUACAUACUUCCCCAUUUCAUUCCCAGUCGAAAGUUCUCGAUUCUCUCUUUGUUCUUCAACCCCCCGGAUUGAGAGGCCACCAACUGGCUGCUCUAUAUAUAGCGUAUAGCUCAUACGCCCCGGGGUAAUCGUUACACGUAGUUCCAUCUCUCUCCCACUCGGGUGUACACACCCUAAAGUAUUCAGACCCGUUUUACAUACUCAUGUUUGUAUGUUAAUUGACGUGGAUUUCUACAUACGUACAUACUAUAUAAUAUUAUUCAGACCCCAUACACAGUAUGAGUCGGCAAUGGCAGCUGCGCAAAAUCUCGAUGUGGCGUAAAUAAUACUGCCUGCCUUUCCCUCUGCCCCCCUUUUUCUCGAUGGAAAACUUUCCAGCUUGACGUCUUUCUUCAUGUUGUUUCUGUCGCUUCUUUUAGGCACUAGUUUGUAGUCGACUUAACCAUUUAUCUAGCGUUAAUCUUAUUUGUAACCACCUCUAUAUGCAACUCUGCCACAUCACUUAACCAGCAAUAUGUAUUUCUUUCUCUAAACUUUAUAGUUGGGCGUUGAAAGUUGAUACGCGAACGUGAAAACAUGAUACCCUGCGCGAGCCUGGGGCGGCAUAUGGGUGCCUGAAAAUGCACUCCGCCCAGUUACCCCAGUGCUGCUGCGUUUGGCAAAGGCUGCGUCUGCGACUGUGACCGGGACAGAGACAACGCCGCCUGUGGUGUGUCUGCUGGGGUCAAGUGGUCGCGGACCAGUCAGCCCGGGGUGCUCGCGAUUCAGUCAGAGAUUGAUUGUGCGGAUUGUGUUAUAGGAACACCGGUGUAUCGACUUCUCUUCCGCUCCACUAAGGGUGAGCCCUACAAAACGGCCUUCUGUUGCCUACUAUCAUCAUCGAACAAGUACCAAAGCGGGCAGACAGGCAUACAUAUGACUCUGUUCCAACAGCGAUCGAUCGGUUGAGCUUGGCAGUAUUGGCGUUUGAAUCAAUGUUGAAUGACACAUCGUCUAUGGAUUAGGAAUCGAACCAGCCUCUCGAAAGCCAAAUCAGUUGGUUGUAAAUAUUAAUUUUGUUCCUGUAUCCUUAUAUAUUCUGUUGUAAAGCCAAAGCGGAAGACAUUUCUUUUACCAACAAUGUGUCACUUACAUAUGUUCUUUUAUACCAGAUACUGUUCAAAUUUUUUUGUUUUUGUACACUUCACCAAAUAAGAAUUACUUGUACCGAUGUAUACUUACUUGCUUGUCGAAACAAAACAAAAAUGGAAACAAAAAAUUAAUAUGAAAAGAGCGCUCCUUAAUGGAAAAAGAAAGCCACUGAAAAAACGUGAAUAAAAAAAUUCUAAGAUUUCAAAAAUAAAUUUCGAAACUUUUGCUCGAGACAUUUUUUUAUUUAAAGCUCAGAUCCGAUUUCAGUUAGAUCACCAUACUCUUACGUAGCGUACCCACAGUAAUCUCAUGAAGGAAGGGUUAUAAUCUCACCAACCGAAAAUGUCUGCGAUUUACCUGCAAGGUGCUCCGAUGUUCUCAAACCAAACCGAAAAAUCUGACCAAGUGUCCGCAUGAAAAGGAAGGGCCAUUGAUCUCUAUAAAACGCUAAAAGUUUGUAUUGGAAAGACUAUAUGUAAAAAAGUUUAGCUUACAAGUACGUAUAUUAUAUAUUUUCUCAUAUUUUUAGGACACUGAUAUACUCUGGGUACUCAUUUCCUUAAAACUACACAAAAAUUACCAAAACAGACAAUAUAUAAAUAAUAAUAAACCAACCAACAUGAUCCUCUUACAAAAUAUGUUUCCCUAAUCUCCGACAGGUAAACCCAUCUUAUAAAUCGGCAUAAAACCUGGUUAUUUAAUUACUAAGAUAAACAAGUAUUAUUACAAAUAUUAUGACUAGUAGGCAGGAUUUAAAAAGAGAAAAAUAACAAGAUUAUUAAUACUGACUACCAUAUUAAAACAAUAUAAUAGCUAAGGCUAAAAAUAAUACAUUAAUAAAUAUUUUCAAUGAAGGUAACAUAAAAAAAUAUUAUUUUCAACAUUUUAUAUUAUUAUUAGCCAACGUGGCACUGUUUUGGUUUUAUAUAUAAACUACAUCGAUCUAGCCUUCGUGGCAUUAUACUGGUAAAAUUUAUAAAUAGGUAGAAAUUGGUUAAAAAGUUUGCCUUCGAGGCGUUAAAUUGGAAAAGUUUUACAACAAAUAGGUAGAAAUUGGUAUAAAUGUUAGCCAUCAUGGCAUUAUAAUGGUAAUAUUUACAUAAAAUAGGUAGGACUUGGUAAAAAGUUAGCCUUAGUGGUAAUAUUUAGAAUAUGUAGGAAUUGGUAAAAAUGGAAGCCAUCGGGCAUCAUCAUGGUAAUAUUUCAACCAAAUAUAAUGUGAUUGGUAUAAAUCUUAGCCUUCGUGGCAAUAUCUUGGUAAUAUUUACAUAAAAUAGGUAGGACUUGGUAAAAACGUUAGCCUUAGUGGCACUAUAUGGUAGUAUUUAAAAAAUAGGUAGGAAUUGGUACAAAUGUAAGCCAUCGGGCAUUAUAAUGGUAAUAUUUCAACCAAAUAGGUAGGAAUUGGUAUAAAUGUGUUAGUCUUCAUGACAGUGCAUUGGUAAUUUUUACAUAAAAUAGGUAGGACUUGGUAAAAACGUUAGCCUUAGUGGCACAAUAUUGGUUAUAUUUAGAAUAGGUAGGAAUUGGUACAAAUGUUAGCCAUCGUGGCAUUAUAAUGGUACCAAAUGGUACCAAAUAAGUAUGGAUUGGUAUAAAUAUCAGCCUUCAUGGCAGUGUAUUGGUAAUAUUUCAAUUAAAUAGGUAGGAAUUGGUACAAAUGUUAGCCUUCAUGGCAUUAUAAUGGUAAUUUUUACAUAAAAUAGGUAGGACUUGGUAAAAACGUUAGCCUUAGUGGCACAAUAUUGGUAAUAUUUAGAAUAAGUAGGAAUUGGUAAAAAUGUUAACCAUCGUGGUAUUAUAAUGCUAAUAUUUCAACGAAAUGGGUAGGGAUUGGUAUAAAUAACAGCCUUCGUGGCACUAUAUCGGUAAUAUUUACAUCAAAUAGGUAGGAAUUGGUACAAAUGUUAGCCGUUGUGGCACUUUAUUCGUAAUAUUUCAAUUAAAUAGGUAGGAAUUGGUAUAAUUGUGUUAGUCUUCAUGGCAUUAUAAUGGUAAUUACUUACAUAAAAUAGGUAGGACUUGGUAAAAACGUUAGCCUUAGUGGCACAAUAUUGGUAAUAUUUAGAAUAAGUAGGAAUUGGUAAAAAUGUUAACCAUCGUGGUAUUAUAAUGCUAAUAUUUCAACGAAAUGGGUAGGGAUUGGUAUAAAUAACAGCCUUCGUGGCACUAUAUCGGUAAUAUUUACAUCAAAUAGGUAGGAAUUGGUACAAAUGUUAGCCGUUGUGGCACUUUAUUCGUAAUAUUUCAAUUAAAUAGGUAGGAAUUGGUAUAAUUGUGUUAGUCUUCAUGGAUUUAUAAUGGUAAUUACUUACAUAAAAUACGUAGGACUUGGUAAAAACGUUAGCCUUAGUGGCACAAUAUUGGUAAUAUUUAGAAUAGGUAGGAAUUGGUAAAAAUGUUAGCCACUGUGGCAUUAUAAUGGUAAUAUUUUAACGAAAUAGGUAGGGAUUGGUAUAAAUAUCAGCCUUCAUGGCAGUGUAUUGGUAAUAUUUCAAUUAAAUAGGUAGGAAUUGAUACAAAUGUUUGUCUCCAUGACAGUGUAUUCGUAAUUUUUAGAUCAAAUAGGUAGGGUUUGGUAAACGUGUUAGCCUUCGUGGCACUAAAAUGGAAAUAUUGUGAAUAUUUAAAAAUACUUGGUAGGGUAUAAUAAAUUAUAGCCUACGUGGCAAUAUUCCUAUAUUAUUCAAUAAAAACUUCUGGUAAAAAUCCUUGAAAUAAUUAGGCAGGACUUUAGAAAUGUCUCUCAAAUAUUAUCGUUUAACCUAUAUCCCUGUAUCGUUCGUGGAGUGUAAAAUAUUUACAAAAUAAUAGGUAGGGCUUAAUAAAUCGCAGCCUUCGUGGCAAUAUUCCGAUAUUUUUCAAUAAAAACUCCUGGUAAAAAUCCUUGAAAUAAACUAGAAAGGGCUUCAGAAAUGUCUCUUAAAUAUUAUCAAUCAACCUGUAUCCCUUAACCGUUCGUGGAGUGUAAAAUAUUUACAAAAUAAUAGGUAGGUCUUACUAAAUCGUAGCCUUCGUGGCAAUAUUCCGAUAUUAUUCAAUGAAAACUUCUGGUAAAAAUCCUUGAAAUAAUUAGGCAGGGCUUCAGAGGUGUCUCUCAAAUAUUAUCGUUUAACCUAUAUCCCUUAACCGUUCUUGGAGUGUAAAAUAUUUGCAAAAUAAUAGGUAGGUCUUACUAAAUCAUAGCCUUCGUGGCAAUAUUCUGAUAUUAUUCAAUGAAAACUCCUGGUAAAAAUCCUUGAAAUAAACUAAGCAGGGCUUCAGAAAUGUGUCUCACAUCUUAUCGUUCAACCUCUAUCCCUGUAUCGUUCGUGGACUGUAAAAUAUUUACAAAAUAAUAGGUAGGUCUUACUAAAUCAUAGCCUUCGUGGCAAUAUUCCGAUAUUAUUCAAUAAAAACUCCUGGUAAAAAUCCUUGAAAUAAACUAGGCAGGGUUUCAGAAAUGUCUCUUAAAUAUUAUCAAUCAACCUGUAUCCCUUAACCGUUCUUGGAGUGUAAAAUAUUUGCAAAAUAAUAGGUAGGUCUUACUAAAUCAUAGCCUUCGUGGCAAUAUUCCGAUAUUAUUCAAUAAAAACUUCUGGUAAAAAUCCUUGAAAUAAACUAGAAAGGGCUUCAGAAAUGUCUCUUAAAUAUUAUCAAUCAACCUGUAUCCCUUAACCGUUCUUGGAGUGUAAAAUAUUUGCAAAAUAAUAGGUAGGUCUUACUAAAUCAUAGCCUUCGUGGCAAAAUUCUGAUAUUAUUCAAUGAAAACUCCUGGUAAAAAUCCUUGAAAUAAACUAAGCAGGGCUUCAGAAAUGUGUCUCACAUCUUAUCGUUCAACCUCUAUCCCUGUAUCGUUCGUGGACUGUAAAAUAUUUACAAAAUAAUAGGUAGGUCUUACUAAAUCAUAGCCUUCGUGGCAAUAUUCCAAAAUUAUUCAAUUAAAACUUCUGGUAAAAAUCCUUGAAAUAAACUAGAAAGGGCUUCAGAAAUGUCUCUUAAAUAUUAUCAAUCAACCUAUAUCCCUUAACCGUUCUUGGAGUGUAAAAUAUUUGCAAAAUAAUAGGUAGGUCUUACUAAAUCAUAGCCUUCGUGGCAAUAUUCCGAUAUUAUUCAAUAAAAACUCCUGGUAAAAAUCCUUGAAAUAAACUAGAAAGGGCUUCAGAAAUGUCUCUUAAAUAUUAUCAAUCAACCUGUAUCCCUUAACCGUUCUUGGAGUGUAAAAUAUUUGCAAAAUAAUAGGUAGGUCUUACUAAAUCAUAGCCUUCGUGGCAAUAUUCCGAUAUUAUUCAAUAAAAACUUCUGGUAAAAAUCCUUGAAAUAAACUAAGCAGGGCUUCAGAAAUGUGUCUCACAUCUUAUCGUUCAACCUCUAUCCCUGUAUCGUUCGUGGACUGUAAAAUAUUUACAAAAUAAUAGGUAGGGCUUACUAAAUCAUAGCCUUCGUGGCAAUAUUCCGAUAUUAUUCAAUUAAAACUUCUGGUAAAAAUCCUUGAAAUAAUUAGGCAGGGCUUCAGAAAUGUGUCUCACAUAUUCAACCUACAUAUAUCCCUGUAUCGUUCGUGGAGUGUAAAAUAUUUACAAAAUAAUACGUAGGGCUUACUAAAUCGUAGCCUUCGUGGCAAUAUUCCGAUAUUAUUCAAUUAAAACUUCUGGUAAAAAUCCCUGAAAUAAACUAGGCAGGGCUUCAAAAAUGUCUCUCAAAUAUUAUCGAUCUACCUAUACCCUUUUUCGUCCGUGGAGUGUAAAAUAUUUACAAAAUAAUAGGUAGGGCUUACUAAAUCAUAGCCUUUGUGGCAAUAUUCCGAUAUUAUUCAAUAAAAACUCCUGGUAAAAAUCCUUGAAACAAACUAGGCAGGGCUUCAAAAAUGUCUCUCAAAUAUUAUCGAUCUACCUAUAUCCCUUAACCGUUCGUGGAGUGUAAAAUAUUUACAAAAUAAUAGGUAGGGUUUAAUAAAUCGUAGCCUUCGUGGCAAUAUUCCGAUAUUAUUCAAUUAAAACUUCUGGUAAAAAUCCUUGAAAUAAUUAGGCAGGGCUUCAGAAAUGUGUCUCACAUAUUCAACCUACAUAUAUCCCUGUAUCGUUCGUGGAGUGUAAAAUAUUUACAAAAUAAUACGUAGGGCUUACUAAAUCGUAGCCUUCGUGGCAAUAUUCCGAUAUUAUUCAAUUAAAACUUCUGGUAAAAAUCCCUGAAAUAAACUAGGCAGGGCUUCAAAAAUGUCUCUCAAAUAUUAUCGAUCUACCUAUACCCUUUUUCGUCCGUGGAGUGUAAAAUAUUUACAAAAUAAUAGGUAGGGCUUACUAAAUCGUAGCCUUCGUGGCAAUAUUCCGAUAUUAUUCAAUUAAAACUUCUGGUAAAAAUCCUUGAAAUAAUUAGGCAGGGCUUCAAAAAUGUCUCUCAAAUAUUAUCGAUCUACCUAUAUCCCCUAACCGUUCGUGGAGUGUAAAAUAUUUACAAAAUAAUAGGUAGGGCUUACUAAAUCGUAGCCUUCGUGGCAAUAUUCCGAUAUUAUUCAAUUAAAACUUCUGGUAAAAAUCCUUGAAAUAAUUAGGCAGGGCUUCAAAAAUGUCUCUCAAAUAUUAUCGAUCUACCUAUAUCCCCUAACCGUUCGUGGAGUGUAAAAUAUUUACAAAAUAAUAGGUAGGUCUUACUAAAUCGUAGCCUUCGUGGCAAUAUUCCGAUAUUAUUCAAUGAAAACUCCUGGUAAAAAUCCUUGAAACAAACUAGGCAGGGCUUCAAAAAUGUCUCUCAAAUAUUAUCGAUCUACCUAUAUCCCUUAACCGUUCGUGAAGUGUAAAAUAUUUACAAAAUAAUAGGUAGGGCUUACUAAAUCGUAGCCUUCGUGGCAAUAUUCCGAUAUUAUUCAAUUAAAACUUCUGGUAAAAAUCCUUGAAAUAAUUAGGCAGGGCUUCAAAAAUGUCUCUCAAAUAUUAUCGAUCUACCUAUAUCCCCUAACCGUUCGUGGAGUGUAAAAUAUUUACAAAAUAAUAGGUAGGGUUUAAUAAAUCGUAGCCUUCGUGGCAAUAUUCCGAUAUUAUUCAAUUAAAACUUCUGGUAAAAAUCCUUGAAAUAAUUAGGCAGGGCUUCAAAAAUGUCUCUCAAAUAUUAUCGAUCUACCUAUAUCCCCUAACCGUUCGUGGAGUGUAAAAUAUUUACAAAAUAAUAGGUAGGUCUUACUAAAUCGUAGCCUUCGUGGCAAUAUUCCGAUAUUAUUCAAUGAAAACUCCUGGUAAAAAUCCUUGAAACAAACUAGGCAGGGCUUCAAAAAUGUCUCUCAAAUAUUAUCGAUCUACCUAUAUCCCUUAACUGUUCGUGGAGUGUAAAAUAUUUACAAAAUAAUAGGUAGGUCUUACUAAAUCAUAGCCUUCGUGGCAAUAUUCCGAUAUUAUUCAAUAAAAACUCCUGGUAAAAAUCCUUGAAACAAACUAGGCAGGGCUUCAGAAAUGUCUCUCAAAUAUUAUCUAUCUACGUAUAUCCCUUAACUGUUCGUGGAGUGUAAAAUAUUUACAAAAUAAUAGGUAGGUAUUACUAAAUCAUAGCCUUCGUGGCAAUAUUCCGAUAUUAUUCAAUAAAAACUCCUGGUAAAAAUCCUUGAAACAAACUAGGCAGGGCUUCAGAAAUGUCUCUCAAAUAUUAUCUAUCUACGUAUAUCCCUUAACUGUUCGUGGAGUGUAAAAUAUUUACAAAAUAAUAGGUAGGUAUUACUAAAUCAUAGCCAUCGUGGCAAUAUUCCGAUAUUAUUCAAUAAAAACUCCUGGUAAAAAUCCUUGAAACAAACUAGGCAGGGCUUCAAAAAUGUCUCUCAAAUAUUAUCGAUCUACCUAUAUCCCUUAACCGUUCGUGAAGUGUAAAAUAUUUACAAAAUAAUAGGUAGGGCUUACUAAAUCGUAGCCUUCGUGGCAAUAUUCCGAUAUUAUUCAAUAAAAACUCCUGGUAAAAAUCCUUGAAACAAACUAGGCAGGGCUUCAAAAAUGUCUCUCAAAUAUUAUCGAUCUACCUAUAUCCCUUAACUGUUCGUGGAGUGUAAAAUAUUUACAAAAUAAUAGGUAGGUAUUACUAAAUCAUAGCCUUCGUGGCAAUAUUCCGAUAUUAUUCAAUAAAAACUCCUGGUAAAAAUCCUUGAAAUAAUUAGGCAGGGCUUCAAAAAUGUCUCUCAAAUAUUAUCGAUCUACCUAUAUCCCCCUAACCGUUCGUGGAGUGUAAAAUAUUUACAAAAUAAUAGGUAGGGUUUAAUAAAUCGUAGCCUUCGUGGCAAUAUUCCGAUAUUAUUCAAUUAAAACUUCUGGUAAAAAUCCUUGAAAUAAUUAGGCAGGGCUUCAAAAAUGUCUCUCAAAUAUUAUCUAUCUACGUAUAUCCCUUAACUGUUCGUGGAGUGUAAAAUAUUUACAAAAUAAUAGGUAGGUCUUACUAAAUCAUAGCCUUCGUGGCAAUAUUCCGAUAUUAUUCAAUAAAAACUCCUGGUAAAAAUCCUUGAAACAAACUAGGCAGGGCUUCAAAAAUGUCUCUCAAAUAUUAUCGAUCUACCUAUAUCCCUUAACUGUUCGUGGAGUGUAAAAUAUUUACAAAAUAAUAGGUAGGUCUUACUAAAUCAUAGCCUUCGUGGCAAUAUUCCGAUAUUAUUCAAUAAAAACUCCUGGUAAAAAUCCUUGAAACAAACUAGGCAGGGCUUCAGAAAUGUCUCUCAAAUAUUAUCUAUCUACGUAUAUCCCUUAACUGUUCGUGGAGUGUAAAAUAUUUACAAAAUAAUAGGUAGGGUUUAAUAAAUCGUAGCCUUCGUGGCAAUAUUCCGAUAUUAUUCAAUAAAAACUCCUGGUAAAAAUCCUUGAAACAAACUAGGCAGGGCUUCAAAAAUGUCUCUCAAAUAUUAUCGAUCUACCUAUAUCCCUUAACUGUUCGUGGAGUGUAAAAUAUUUACAAAAUAAUAGGUAGGUAUUACUAAAUCAUAGCCAUCGUGGCAAUAUUCCGAUAUUAUUCAAUAAAAACUCCUGGUAAAAAUCCUUGAAACAAACUAGGCAGGGCUUCAAAAAUGUCUCUCAAAUAUUAUCGAUCUACCUAUAUCCCUUAACCGUUCGUGAAGUGUAAAAUAUUUACAAAAUAAUAGGUAGGGCUUACUAAAUCGUAGCCUUCGUGGCAAUAUUCCGAUAUUAUUCAAUAAAAACUCCUGGUAAAAAUCCUUGAAACAAACUAGGCAGGGCUUCAAAAAUGUCUCUCAAAUAUUAUCGAUCUACCUAUAUCCCUUAACUGUUCGUGGAGUGUAAAAUAUUUACAAAAUAAUAGGUAGGUAUUACUAAAUCAUAGCCUUCGUGGCAAUAUUCCGAUAUUAUUCAAUAAAAACUCCUGGUAAAAAUCCUUGAAACAAACUAGGCAGGGCUUCAAAAAUGUCUCUCAAAUAUUAUCGAUCUACCUAUAUCCCUUAACUGUUCGUGGAGUGUAAAAUAUUUACAAAAUAAUAGGUAGGUCUUACUAAAUCAUAGCCUUCGUGGCAUUAUUCCGAUAUUAUUCAAUAAAAACUCCUGGUAAAAAUCCUUGAAACAAACUAGGCAGGGCUUCAAAAAUGUCUCUCAAAUAUUAUCGAUCUACCUAUAUCCCUUAACCGUUCGUGAAGUGUAAAAUAUUUACAAAAUAAUAGGUAGGGCUUACUAAAUCAUAGCCUUCGUGGCAUUAUUCCGAUAUUAUUCAAUGAAAACUUCUGGUAAAAAUCCCUGAAAUAAACUAGGCAGGGCUUCAGAAAUGUCUCUCAAAUAUUAUCGAUCUACCUAUAUCCCUUAACCGUUCGUGGAGUGUAAAAUAUUUACAAAAUAAUAGGUAGGUAUUACUAAAUCAUAGCCUUCGUGGCAAUAUUCCGAUAUUAUUCAAUUAAAACUUCUGGUAAAAAUCCUUGAAAUAAUUAGGCAGGGCUUCAAAAAUGUCUCUCAAAUAUUAUCGAUCUACCUAUAUCCCUUAACCGUUCGUGAAGUGUAAAAUAUUUACAAAAUAAUAGGUAGGGUUUAAUAAAUCGUAGCCUUCGUGGCAAUAUUCCGAUAUUAUUCAAUGAAAACUUCUGGUAAAAAUCCUUGAAAUAAACUAGGCAGGACUUCAAAAAUGUCUCUCAAAUAUUAUCGAUCUACCUAUAUCCUUGUAUCGUUCGUGAAGUGUGAAAUAUUGACAAAAUAAUAGGUAGGGCUUACUAAGUCAUAGCCUUCGUGGCAAUAUUCCUAUAUUAUUCAAUGAAAACUUCUCGUAAAAAUCCUUGAAAUAAAUUAGGCAGGCAAUUUAAAUAUUUUGUGGAGUGUAAAAUGUAAAGAAAGAAUUAGUUUGGAUUUAUUAGGUUAACGUUUGGAUUAUGCUACUUUUUUAGAUUUCCAGAAAUUAUAUUUAUAUAAUUUGUUUUUUCGUUGUUUUUGGUACAUCAUGUUUUUAAGACUAAUUCAAUAUUAUUUUGUUCAUUUAUUUAUUAUAGUUAUUUUGUUCUUUUCUCCUCUUUUUUAAAUUUUUUUUUUGGCUAACACAUUAAUCUUUAUAUAUUUUUGUUAACGGCCCAAAAUAUUUAUGUAAUUAUCUUCAAUCUUCAAAUGUUUUUUGGUCUUUUUUUAUGUGUUCGAUUGCUUACAACCUCCGGCCUUUAAAUCUAUUCACUUUUAAUAUUUUCUUACUAAGUGAGUUAUAAACUAAACUGUUUACAACAAAAAAAAGUAGUGCUUUUUUACAUUACAAUCAAAUCAUCUUAUUCAAAAACUCAGGAUCAAGGUUACUCAUAAUCCUUCGACUUAAUUUACAUAAAUUCUACAAGCAUAUACAUACGUACGGAUGUAAAAACGACUACCUUUAUAAACAAAUAAUCACCGAAAAUGUCACCCAUUUGUUUGGUUGCGUAUUAUGUACCAAUAUUAAUUAAAAAACAUCCCCUGGAGCGAACCAAAAGAUACUUUUUACAAUGUGUUAACAAAUAUAUUUUAUAAAAACUCAUAUAUUUUCGCAUUGAUGUUGAAGAAAGCUAUUAUCCUUAUAUAUAAUUAAAGCUUGCAUAAUUUCGCAAAAUUUCUAUUAAGAUAUAUUCAGGCCCAUGGAAUUUACAUUAUGUUUUUCUACAAACUGAAUGGAAACAUGCAAUUAACUACAGACACCACAAACCCCAAAGCUUAAUUAGCAAGAAUUUUUCUAUUGAAAAUACUAUAAGAUAUAAAGAUCAACUAAACAUAGGAUUCACUGGAUUUUUUUUUAAAUUUCAUCAACACUACAAUAGGAUUUUUUGACUACGAAGUGCAAUUUAAAGUAAGCUAAUAAAAAGCUGUACAUGAAAUUAAAAAAUAUUUAUAUAUAUACCAAUUAUUGCAUCUAAAAGCAUGCCCAAACUCUGCCAAAGAGGACAAACCUUAAAGAAAUCGAUUCUAUAAGAUUACGAAAUAUAAAAGCCGAAUAUAUUUAUUGAAAUUAAUAGUUCAAUAAAUUAAAAACAAUUUAAAAUUCAUCGGAUAUUUUCGAAUACAGGAGUGAUUAUGUUAUGUAUUCUUCACAUAUAGGAUCACUAAUGAACCUGAACCCAGUAUAUACUGAAAAAAUUACACAUGAUCAAAAAUUGCAGGGCUAUACAUAUACUUAGUUGGGCGUAGCUUAAUUUUCAAUGUCUAUCAACUAUAUGAUUCCCCAACACUGAGUGUUAUUAUAAAUUUAUUAACGUGUACAUAUACAUAUUAUUGGGAUUUUAGCCAUCUUAAACAAAAUUCCACGAACAUUAUGACAUGGAAACAAAUAUUCAAAAAAUAUGGUAUGCUUACAUUGCUUCUGCACAAAACAUUUGUACUGUAUUUAUAGUUUUUCCGGAUUAAGUAAAGCAAUAUAUUUACAGUCAUUUGCAAGAAGGACAUUAAGUGUUAUGCUUCAAAAAGCUUUGACUAAGAAAAUAACCUUAAUAAUUAAAUAAUCCAAAAGCCGCUUUAGUCCAAAAUUAUUAUAUGUACAAUUAUUUUUGAAAAUAUUACAUCACAUUCUACUAUGAGUGUGACUAAGAGAACAAUUGGAUUUUAAAUAAAAUCAACAUAAGCCUGAUUUGAAAAAUAGAAUAAACUUCAUUUGAAUACAAAAUAAAAGGGAAAUUUAAACAUGAAAUAAACCCCAACAAACAUCACUAUGGAUAAAUUUUUAAAACAAAUACAUAACAAUACCCAUAUUAAAGAACCCUUAAUAGAAAUACUUUUUUACAUUGAAAUUCUACGAACAACAUUAUUGUGAUAUUUAAACAAACAUUACUGGACUCCUACUGGCGAUCUUUAUAGCACCUUCUUCUCUGAAACAUUGUAUAAUUUAGAGUUUCUGAUUCAAUAUAUUUUCCAUAAUUUUUUUAAAUUAUUUUGGUUGGUUAUUUGAAAUCUUUACGUGGUUAGAUUUAUUUCAAAAACUAUUUAGGACUUCUGAAAUGUAUUAUUAAAAUUAACGUUCCAUCUUUAUCCCUGUUAGGCUUGAAAUUAUAAAAUAUCUGCAAAUAAAAAGUAGGCUUUGAGAAAAAUAUAGAAGUGGCAUUAUUAUAAAUAAAUUUACUGAAUCAAUUUAUUAGUAAGGUUCUCCCACAAGUAUAUUACCAUAAUUCGUUCCCUCACAUUCAAAGUCCAGUAAACAUGUGUUUUAUUACCUUCAAUACAAUAUUAUUAAUUGUUAUUAUGUUAAUAGCAUUGAAUACGAAUUAUUUUUCAGUGUUCAUAAUGUUUUUUACUUUUCGGAUGUUUCUAUUUAAUUUUGUGUAAAAUACCAUUCUUGAAAAUAUUCUAACGAUAUAAAGAGAAUUAAAUAUUAUCAUAUAUAUAUACGUCAUUUGAUUUGUUAACGCAUUCAAAUACAUACUGCGGUCGAGUGUUUCUUAUUGAAUUAUUUGAUAUCUGAAAAUUGGUUUAAUAUAUUCUCCCUUUUAUUGUUCUAAUUAAAUGUAAAAGAAUGUAUGAAAACAUCAAGCUUAAAAAGUCUCAACGUAUAAUAUUGCGGAAAAUAAAACAAUACCACCAAUGCAGAUAUAUUAUAUAUAUUAUUUAAAUCAUCAAAAAUUGCUACCACUGCUUUUUGAAUAAAUCAAUAAUAAAGCUUGCAAUAAACACAACUUUACAGAUUCUGAUUAAAGUCGAAAUGUAAAGACUGAAUUUGAAACAAAAUAUUACAUCGGCAAUUCAACAAAUUUCUAUGGUUUUCUAACAUGUACCAUUUAAAUUGUAAAACAUACAUUGAUAUAAAGAAAUCGUUUCUAAACCCCGAAAUAUUUUGCUUGAUACACAAAAUGCUUGCUUAUUUAUUUCUAAAAACAAGCACGAAAUAGCUCAUCAAAGUGUAUAAUUUAAAUGUUUAUAUUUACUCAUGGAGUUCAUAUACCAUUCGUCUAUAAACUGAAAGAAAACAUUUACUCAACACCAAUUAUUAUUCAAAUAUCAAAACGUACAACAAUUACAAUUAUCUACGUUGUAUUAAAAACACACAUGCAGACUUCAGAAAAAAAGGGAAAAUUAUACAAAUUGUACCAAUCAAUUAAUUAAUUAUUUCAAAGGAAAUCACUUCUGUUAUUUUUUUUACCCUCGACAACCUGGAUUUCAACCCAAACAUAAAAUGAAUGUUCAACAAAUAAAUCAUUACCAUAAGUAACCACUAUUAAAAGGAUCGUAUUUAGAAUAUUGGAUUGGAUUUGAUUAAGGACCUACAAAAACUUUACAUUUAGCAAGAUGUAUAGUAUGAUUUUUAAUUUUAAAUGAAAUAUCCUAGGAAUUACCUAUCCAAAGACAUACACAUCAGUUGCACGAAACUGUUGUACUGUAAUUAAAGUUCUUCCGAAUUAAGUAGAACAAUACAAUUGAAAUCAUCUGCAAAGAACCCAUUCGGUAGAGUCGAUGGGGACAUGUGUUAUGCUUCCAAUGCUUUGUCUAUGAAACUAACUUUAACCUCCUAUAAUCCUCUGUGUCACAUCAGCAGCUUAGAACACAAAUAAAGAUUCCCUAUUUCGUAAAUCCUUCCCGUAGAAAAUGAACACCUAAAUGAUUUUUGAAUCUAACAGGGCUUUUGAGGUAACAUUAUCGAAUGCAGUUAUUUUACUCCCUCAACUUCAGGGUGACUAAAAGAAACAUCGGUAUGAAUUAAAACCCAAAUUCUAUACUAUCAACAUGCAACAUUAACUUGAUAUUUACACUACCUUCAAUAUAUAGUAUUUAAUGAAUGGGAAAUUCACUUAAUCCGUUCCGGCAAAAUUGAAUUAUAACAUCUACAAUCUUAUUCGUGAUGAACAUGCACCAGAUAAACUUGGAUAUACAUCGACACUAUCUAUCAAUGUAUCACUUCAAAUCGGCAACUGUAACAGAAAAUAACAUUAUGUAUUUUUUUAACUCUUGAUCUUCACCUGGAAACACUAUUAUAAUAUGGAAAUAUUCAUUAUUGGACCCUGUUUGGCACGAUCCCCUCUUUUCAAGAACAAUAUUAAGAUGCGACCCUCUUCUCCUCUUCUUCUGUAUCUUUUAAUGCUGAACAUCCCUGGUUAAUUAUUUGUAUGCUAUAUAUGGUUGGAAUUAUUCUAAAAAUCCUCUAUUUUAGUCAUUUAUGUAUGGAUGCGGGUGUCAGUCAUUUUGUAUGAAUAUUUUUGUGCACGAGACUAUUGCAUAGUGAAUAAUCUUUUUAUAAUAGUAUGCAUACUAAAUACAUAAUUUUUUGUUAAUAUUUUUGCAAAAAUAUAUAUAUUUUUUGUAAUAUUCAUUAUUAUUUGUAUAACUGCGGAAUUUACAUUUCAAGUUCUUGAUUUGAUAAAACCGCUCUCCCAUAUAAUCUAAAAGCUUCAAACCCUUUUCCAAUACCAUCGUACGAACAUUAAAAGCAUCAGAUUUUCGGGUGAGGUUACUGAUGCUCUUUGUCUCUAAAAUAUGUUUUUUUUUUUCUAAAAAAAAAAUAAAAAGGAAAACAUACACCACCUUAAAAUAACCUCACCCACCAAAUGUAUGAACAAAGAGAACAAAAUUUCAAUACAAACCCACGACGAAGCCACCCGUUUCAAGAAGGAUGUAACCAACCCAAAUAGAAGGAUGUCACUGCUCCUACUAAAGGAGUCCCUGGAAGGAUGUCAUGUUUUUAAAAUUAAAACAAAUAAACAAUUAUUUAUGUAGUUUUAUUUACAUUUACAUAAACUUAAUCUUUAACUCCCUUCAGCACUGUGUCUGUAAGAGAUUGGAAAUCAUUAGAUUUCCAUUAGGUUACUGAAGACCCUUUACCUCACUCAAAGGAUGUAAGGAUGUGACUUGACCCAGAUGAGGGAUAGCUACUAUCUCAAGCAAUAUGGGACUACUAAAAGGACAAGGUGCCAUUAAGGAUUGCCGCUUGGACUCAAAGGAGAUCGAUUUCUUCUGAAAAUAACUAUAUCUAAGCCCUGUUUUCAAUAUUUGAAUAAACGAUUGUGAUUUUUGUGAUACUAA